rnacentral:rRNA from 1 species
GGAUGGAAUGACCCUUCGGGGGAAUGAAAUCCUAGAAAGUGGCGAACGAGUGAGUAACGCGUGGGUAACCUGCCCUAUGGAAAGGAAUAGCCUCGGGAAACUGGGAGUAAUGCCUUAUAAUAUACGAGAGUCGCAUGGCUUUUGUAUUAAACGCUCCGGUGCCAUAGGAUGGACCCGCGUCCCAUUAGCUAGUUGGUGAGAUAACAGCCCACCAAGGCAACGAUGGGUAACCGGUCUGAGAGGGCGAACGGUCACACUGGAACUGAGACACGGUCCAGACUCCUACGGGAGGCAGCAGUGGGGAAUAUUGCGCAAUGGGGGCAACCCUGACGCAGCAAUACCGCGUGAGUGAAGAAGGUUUUCGGAUCGUAAAGCUCUGUUAUUGGGGAAGAAAAAAGACGGUACCCAAGAAGAAAGUCCCGGCUAACUACGUGCCAGCAGCCGCGGUAAUACGUAGGGGACAAGCGUUGUCCGGAUUUACUGGGCGUAAAGGGCACGCAGGCGGUUUUUUAAGUCAGA